GCAAGUGUGAUGUAGUGGUUUCAGCACUAGACUACGACUCUAGAGAUCAGGGUUCAAUUCCUCACUUGAG